rnacentral:rRNA from 1 species
AAAACUUACCAGGUCAAGACAUGGGCGUGAUUGACAGGCUAAUGACUUUUCUCGAUUCCAUGGAUGGUGGUGCAUGGUCGCACUUAGUUGGUGCAGUGAUUUGUCAGGUUUAUUCCGGUAACGAACGAGACCUCGGCCUUGUAAAUAGCUAUGCUGCUUACAGGGACAUUGGCGGCUACGCCAAGGAAGCUCGAGGCAAUUGCAGAUCUGGGAUGCCCUUAGAUGUCCUGGGUCGCACGCGUGCUACAAUGACGCCACGAACGAGCUUGCGUGAUGAAAGUUACGCAUAAUCAGCAGUCGGCGUCUUAAGGGAUAGUCUCUUGUAACUGUGGGACUCCAACUAGGAAUGUCUCGUAAGCACAAGUCAACAUCUUGUGUUGAUUACGUCCCUGCUCUUUGUACACACCGCCCGUCGCUCCUACCGAUCGAGUGUUUAGGUGAAUUUGAUGGACGUAAGGAAGUCAAAUAAACCUGAGCACUAGAGAAGAGAGUCGAGAACU